rnacentral:rRNA from 1 species
ACGCUGGCGGCAGGCCUAACACAUGCAAGUCGAGCGGUAGAGAGAAGCUUGCUUCUCUUGAGAGCGGCGGACGGGUGAGUAAUGCCUAGGAAUCUGCCUGGUAGUGGGGGAUAACGUCCGGAAACGGACGCUAAUACCGCAUACGUCCUACGGGAGAAAGCAGGGGACCUUCGGGCCUUGCGCUAUCAGAUGAGCCUAGGUCGGAUUAGCUAGUUGGUGGGGUAAUGGCUCACCAAGGCGACGAUCCGUAACUGGUCUGAGAGGAUGAUCAGUCACACUGGAACUGAGACACGGUCCAGACUCCUACGGGAGGCAGCAGUGGGGAAUAUUGGACAAUGGGCGAAAGCCUGAUCCAGCCAUGCCGCGUGUGUGAAGAAGGUCUUCGGAUUGUAAAGCACUUUAAGUUGGGAGGAAGGGCAGUAAAUUAAUACUUUGCUGUUUUGACGUUACCGACAGAAUAAGCACCGGCUAACUCUGUGCCAGCAGCCGCGGUAAUACAGAGGGUGCAAGCGUUAAUCGGAAUUACUGGGCGUAAAGCGCGCGUAGGUGGUUCGUUAAGUUGGAUGUGAAAUCCCCGGGCUCAACCUGGGAACUGCAUUCAAAACUGACGAGCUAGAGUAUGGUAGAGGGUGGUGGAAUUUCCUGUGUAGCGGUGAAAUGCGUAGGUAUAGGAAGGAACACCAGUGGCGAAGGCGACCACCUGGACUGAUACUGACACUGAGGUGCGAAAGCGUGGGGAGCAAAC